rnacentral:rRNA from 1 species
CCUACGGGGGGCAGCAGUGGGGAAUAUUGCACAAUGGGGGAAACCCUGAUGCAGCGACGCCGCGUGAAGGAAGAAGUAUUUCGGUAUGUAAACUUCUAUUAGCAGGGAAGAAAAUGACGGUACCUGACUAAGAAGCCCCGGCUAACUACGUGCCAGCAGCCGCGGUAAUACGCAGGGGGCAAGCGUUAUCCGGAUUUACUGGGUGUAAAGGGAGCGUAGGCGGUUUAGCAAGUCAGAAGUGAAAGCUCGGGGCUCAACUCCGGGACUGCGUUUGAAACUGUUGAACUUGAGUGCAGGGGAGGUAGGUGGAAUUCCUAGUGUAGCGGUGAAAUGCGUAGAUAUUAGGAGGAACACCAGUGGCGAAGGCGGCUUGCUGGACUGUAAAUGACGCUGAGGCUCGAAAGCGUGGGGAGCAAACAGGAUUAGAUACCCUGGUAGUC